rnacentral:piRNA from 1 species
AUACAUACACGCACACAUAAGAC